UGGGUGAAGGUUGGGGCUGACAGUGACUGGAGGGGCUGUGGUGAGUGACUCCCGGGGGCGGCUGGGUGAAGGUUGGGGCUGGCAGUGACUGGAGGGGCUGUGGUGAGUGACUCCCGGGGGCGGCUGGGUGAAGGUUGGGGCUGGCAGUGACUGGAGGGGCUGUGGUGAGUGACUCCUGGGGGCGGCUGGGUGAAGGUUGGGGCUGGCAGUGACUGGAGGGGCUGUGGUGAGUGACUCCGGGGGGCGGCUGGGUGUAGGUUGGGGCUGGCAGUGACCGGAGGGGCUGUGGUGAGUGACUCCCGGGGGCGGCUGGGUGAAGGUUGGGGCUGGCAGUGACUGGAGGGGCUGUGGUGAGUGACUCCCGGGGGCGGCUGGGUGUAGGUUGGGGCUGGCGGUGACUGGAGGGGCUGUGGUGAGUGACUCCCGGGGGCGGCUGGGUGAAGGUUGGGGCUGGCGGUGACUGGAGGGGCUGUGGUGAGUGACUCCCGGGG